rnacentral:rRNA from 1 species
UCAAGCGAAUAAGCGCACACGGUGGAUGCCUUGGCGGUCAGAGGCGAUGAAGGACGUGGCAGCCUGCGAAAAGUAUCGGGGAGCUGGCAACAAGCUUUGAUCCGGUAAUGUCCGAAUGGGGAAACCCACCCGCUUGCGGGUAUCCUGCAGUGAAUACAUAGCUGCUGGAAGCGAACCUGGUGAACUGAAAUAUCUAAGUAACCAGAGGAAAAGAAAUCAACCGAGAUUCCGUAAGUAGCGACGAGCGAACGCGGACUAGCCCUUAAGCUGAUUUGGUUCUAGGAAAACGCUCUGGAAAGAGCGGCCAUAGAAGGUGAUAGCCCUGUAUCUGAAAGGGCCAUUUCAGUGAAGACGAGUAGGGCGGGGCACGUGAAACCCUGUCUGAACAUGGGGGGACCAUCCUCCAAGGCUAAAUACUACUGACCGACCGAUAGUGAACCAGUACCGUGAGGGAAAGGCGAAAAGAACCCCGGAGAGGGGAGUGAAAUAGAACCUGAAACCGUGUGCGUACAAGCAGUAGGAGCUCCGCAAGGAGUGACUGCGUACCUUUUGUAUAAUGGGUCAGCGACUUACUGUUCGUGGCAAGCUUAACCGUAUAGGGGAGGCGAAGGGAAACCGAGUCUGAUAAGGGCGCAUAGUCGCGGGCAGUAGACCCGAAACCGGGUGAUCUAGUCAUGCCCAGGGUGAAGGUGCGGUAACACGCACUGGAGGCCCGAACCCACUCCCGUUGCAAAGGUAGGGGAUGAGGUGUGAUUAGGAGUGAAAAGCUAAUCGAACCCGGAGAUAGCUGGUUCUCCUCGAAAGCUAUUUAGGUAGCGCCUCAUAUGUAUCCUCUCGGGGGUAGAGCACUGUUAUGGCUAGGGGGUCAUCGCGACUUACCAAACCAUUGCAAACUCCGAAUACCGAGACGGACUGUAUGGGAGACACACGGCGGGUGCUAACGUCCGUCGUGAAAAGGGAAACAACCCAGACCCACAGCUAAGGUCCCAAAUUCACUGCUAAGUGGAAAACCAUGUGGAAAGGCACAGACAGCCAGGAGGUUGGCUUAGAAGCAGCCACCCUUUAAAGAAAGCGUAAUAGCUCACUGGUCGAGUCGGUCUGCGGGGAAGAUUUAACGGGGCUAAGCAGUGAACCGAAGCUUGGGGUGCAUAACUUUGUUAUGCGCGGUAGAGGAGCGUUCCGUAAGCCGUUGAAGGUGGAUUGAGAAGUCUGCUGGAGGUAUCGGAAGUGCGAAUGCUGACAUGAGUAACGAUAAUGCGGGUGAAAAACCCGCACGCCGAAAGCCCAAGGUUUCCUUGCGCAACGUUAAUCGGCGCAGGGUGAGUCGGCCCCUAAGGCGAGGACGAAAGUCGUAGUCGAUGGGAAGCAGGUUAAUAUUCCUGCACCUCGCGUAAGUGCGAUGGAGGGACGGAGAAGGUUAGGUGUACCAGGCGUUGGUUGUCCUGGGGAAAGGCGGUAGGUUUGGAUCUUUGGCAAAUCCGGGAUCCUUUAAGACCGAGCACCGAGACGAGUCUUUAAGACGAAGUCACUGAUACCACGCUUCCAGGAAAAGCUCCUAAGCUUCAGCUUACGCAGACCGUACCGUAAACCGACACAGGUGGGUAGGAUGAGAAUUCUCAGGCGCUUGAGAGAACUCGGGUGAAGGAACUAGGCAACAUGGCACCGUAACUUCGGGAGAAGGUGCACCCUUUUUGGUGGCUCGUGCGAGCUAUAGCUGAAGAGGGUCGCAGUAACCAGGCCGCUGCGACUGUUUAUCAAAAACACAGCACUCUGCAAACACGAAAGUGGACGUAUAGGGUGUGACGCCUGCCCGGUGCUGGAAGGUUAAUUGAUGGGGUCAGCCGCAAGGCGAAGCUCUUGAUCGAAGCCCCAGUAAACGGCGGCCGUAACUAUAACGGUCCUAAGGUAGCGAAAUUCCUUGUCGGGUAAGUUCCGACCUG